ACCGCGUCUUUCUGGUUUCUUCAUAAAUAGUGUUGCCUUCGUUUGCGCUCUCCAAUCCCCAUUAUGAGUUCUCUUGUUUUUCCCUCUUCUCUCUGCAAAAUCUCCCGCUUCUUCUGAUUUUUCUUAGGGUUUAGAUCUUCAACCUUUGUAGAAACAUCGAGUUUCUAAUGAAAUUGCUGAGGUUUGUGCCUUUUUCCCCUUCUCUCUGUGCUACAACAUCCAGAUUUUUCUGAAAUAAAUUAGGGUUUUGGUUUUUUCAAGUUUAGGUUUGAUUUUCUUAGGAUGCGUAGAUUUGUAACAAUCGGGAGUUGAGUUCUUCGUACUCUCGAAUCGCCACUCUUGACUUCGAUUUCCCUCUUUCUCUUUGAAAAAUCGUCUUCGGAAAUCUGAUUACGUUUUGGUUUUUCUUUCUUCUCUUUUAGCAAAACCAUCCUGUUCUUCAGAGUUGGAUUCCGUUCUGAUUUUUCAAUCAUCUCCUUACAAAAUCGUCCAGGUUUUUCUAAAGUCGAUUAGGUCUUGGUUUUACCCUCUUCUUGCGAUUGGGUUUUGAUAUGAGUUUUUCAGAAUUGAUCAAUUUCAAACAAUUUGGAGUCUAGGUCGCAAGCCCACUUUUAGUAACUGUAAAGCCGUCCUUCUACUCGAGUCCAAUCGUGGUUCGAAUGCCAAGGAAGUGGGAUGCUUUUGGAGCAUUAUCUUGAACGGAAGGAAUGUGGUAAAUUAGUAUGAUUUUAUCUUAUUCCCAGGUAUGAUUAUCCUCUUAUAUGCCUCUGUGCUGUAUGGUGUUAUACCAGUUUUCGGUUAAUGCAUUUGAUAUUCUUUGUUUUGGUGUUUAUCACUUGGAGUCGUAUUGGUCGGUUACUUAUAAGAAGUUGGUUUUUCCAUUUGGAGAAGAUUUGAUUGAUUCUCUAGCUAAUUAUUAGAGUAUCCUGUAUUGAAUCAGUUUUCUUAAGAGGAGACGAGGAGUGAUUUAAUGCGGUGCAUCUCCGAUCAAAUGCCACAGAUUUGCUGGCUUAUAAAUCCCUUUGGUUUUUCGUGUUUGUCAUGUAAUUUCUUGAUUGAUUGAAUGCGUUUAUACUUAUCAAGCUGGUUUUUAAAAACAAGUUAUCUUUGGAGAACAAUGCUCUGGUGAAAAACACGUUUAUGAUUUUAUUUUCUUAAUUUGUUUCUUCUUCUUUUUCCUUUAUUUUCAUUUUUUUUAAUCCCUUCAUUUUACUUUAAACACAAUUUAUGUUUGGAGAACAAUGCUCUGGUGAAAAACACGUUUAUGAUUUUAUUUUCUUAAUUUGUUUCUUCCUUCUUUUUCCUUUAUUUUUCAUUAUUUUUUAAUCCCUUCAUUUUACUUUAAAAAUUAAGGCUUUUAAUAAUAUAUUUUUAUUUUUAUUCAUUUAUUUAUGUAGGAUGUAUAUAAAAACAGUGGAAUUAGUAUAUAUACAAACAAUAAUUUUAAAAACAACCAAAUGCUGUUUUUUUUUUUUUAAAUUUGAUACUGAUCUAUUGUACUCAGUAUCAUAAAUAUUUUACCUUUAUGAUCUUGUUAUAAUUUAUGACUUAAAUAUGACCUCUGAUUGUUGGAUUAAAAUUCGGUUGUCUUUGUCCAAACAUGAUUGUUUUGUCUUCGUGGAAUCCAAAACAGCGGCUGUCUCGAAAUAAUGGUUGCAGUGGGUGCCUUGACGAAAUCCAAGAUAAUGGUUGCUUCAAAUAUUGGUUAUAACAAAAUGAUAAUUGCUGCCAAUUGUUUCGUUACAAUAAUUGUGUAGACACAAGGGUUGCUUUUGUAUGCUAUGAUUAUUGUUGCAAAAUAUAGCUACUAACUUGUUAAAAUAAUUGUCUAAACAUAAUGGUUGCGUUGAUAGAAUCCAAGAUAAUGGUGGCUCUAAAUAGUGGUUAUCUCCAAAUGAUAAUGGUUGCUUUGGUACAGUAAUUAUCCAAAUAUAAUAGUUGUAUGCUAUUUUAAGAUAUAUCAUGAAAUGUUAAUUGUUUCGAAAGAUUAGUUGCCUCGGUACAAUAAUUGUCCAUAUAUAUGGUUGCUUUGAUAUGUUAAUUGUUUCGAUUCUAUCAUGGCAACCAAUAUAGCUAUCUCGAAAUGAUGAUUGUUAUAUCAUGGUUGCUAUGAUUAGAAUCCAAAAUAGUAUGCUAUUUUGAAAUAUGGUUAUCUUGAAAUGAUAAUUGUUGCGAAAAAAAUCGGUUGCCUUGUUAAAAUAAUUGUUCAGACUUAUUGGUUGCCAUGAUAGAAUCGAAAUUAAUGGUUGCUCGAAAUAUUGGUUGUCUUGGUACAAUAAUUGUCAAAGCAUAAUGGUUGUUCGAAAUAUUGGUUGUCUUGGUACAAUAAUUGUUAGUAGCUAAUGGUUGGUUGCCUUGAUGGAAUCCAAAAUAAUGGUUGCUCUUAAUAUUAGUUGUCUUGGUACAAUAAUUGUCUAGACAUGAUGGUUUCUUUGAUAUGUUGUUUCGAAAUAUGGCUACUAUCUCGAAAUGUUAAUCGUCCAAACAUGAUGGUUGGACAUGAUAAAAUAGAAAAUAAUGUUUGCUCAAAAUAUUGGUUGUCUUGGUACAAUAAUUGUCCAAACACGAUGGUUGGUUGCUUUGAUAUAUUUUCUGAAAUAUGGUUGUUUCGAAAUGAUAAUUGUCUAGACAUAAUGGUUGGUUGCCUCGAUGGAAUCGAAAAUAAUGGUUGCUCGAAAUAAUGGUUGUCUUGGUAUAAUAAUUGUCUAGACAUGAUGGUUUCUUUGAUAUGUUGUUCCGAAAUAUGGCUGUUUCAAAAUGUUAAUCGUCCAAACUUGAUGGUUGGUUGCCAUGAUAAAUAAUGUUGCGGUCCAGACAUGAUGGUUUCUUUGAUAUGUUGUCUCGAAAUAUGGCUUGUUGUCUCGAAAUAUGGCUGUCUCGAAAUGUUAAUCGUCCAAACAUGAUGGUUGGUUGCUAUGAUAGAAUCGAAAAUAAUGUUGGUAAAAUAAUUGUCCAAACAUGAUGGUUGGUUGGUUUGAUAUGUUUUUCGAUAUUUGGCUAUUUCGAAAUGAUAAUUGUCCAAACAUAAUUGUUGGUUGCCUCGAUGAAAUCGAAAUUAAUGGUUGCUCGAAAUAUUUGUUGUCUUGGUACAAUAAUUGUCCAGAUAUGAUGGUUGGUUGCCCCGAUGGAAUCCAAAAUAUUGGUUGCUCGUAAUAUUGGUUGUCUUGGUACAAUAAUUGUCCAGACAUGAUGGUUGGUUGCCCCGAUGGGAUCCAAAAUAUUGGUUGAUCGUAAUAUUGGUUAUCUUGGUUUCAAUAAUUGUCCAGACAUGAUGGUUGGUUGCCCCGAUAGAAAUCCAAAAUAUUGGUUGCUCGAAAUAUUGGUUAUCUUGGUUUCAAUAAUUGUCCAGACAUGAUGGUUGGUUGCCCCGAUGGAAAUCCAAAAUAUUGGUUGCUCGAAAUAUUGGUUAUCUUGGUACAAUAAUUGUCCAGACAUGAUGGUUGAUUGCCCCGAUAGAAUCCAAAAUUUUGGUUGCUCGAAAUAUUGGUUGUCUUGGUACAAUAAUUGUCCAGACAAAUAUUGGUUGUCUUGGUACAAUAAUUGUCCAGACAAAUAUUGGUUGUCUUGGUACAAUAAUUGUCCAGACAAAUAUUGGUUGUCUUGGUACAAUAAUUGUCCAGACAAAUAUUGGUUGUCUUGGUACAAUAAUUGUCCAGACAAAUAUUGGUUGUCUUGGUACAAUAAUUGUCCAGACAAAUAUUGGUUGUCUUGGUACAAUAAUUGUCCAGACAAAUAUUGGUUGUCUUGGUACAAUAAUUGUCCAGACAAAUAUUGGUUGUCUUGGUACAAUAAUUGUCCAGACAAAUAUUGGUUGUCUUGGUACAAUAAUUGUCCAGACAAAUAUUGGUUGUCUUGGUACAAUAAUUGUCCAGACAAAUAUUGGUUGCUCGUACAAUAAUUGUCCAGACAAAUAUUGGUUGCUCGUAAUAUUGGUUGUUCGUAAUAUUGGUUGUUUUUGUACAAUAAUUGUCCAGACAUGACGGUUGGUUGGCCCGAUGGAAUCCAAAAUAUUGGUUGCUCGAAAUAUUGGUUGUCUUGGUACAAUAAUUGUCUAGACAUGAUGGUUGGUUGCCCCGAUGGGAUCCAAAAUAUUGGUUGCUCGAAAUAUUAGUUGUCUUGGUACAAUAAUUGUUUUAGAUAAGAAGGUUGCUUUUUGAUAUGUUGUUUCGAAAUAUGGUUGUCUCGAAAUGAAAAUUGUUGCGAAAUAUUGAUUGCCUUGUUACCCUAAUUGUUCUAAUAUAAUGGUUGCUUAAAAUAUUGUUAUAUUGAUGGUUGGUUGUUGCAAAAUUCCUGUCUUGGUUGCCUCAUAAUGAUAAUGGUUGUUAAAGAUUAUAUUCCUUGGUAUAUUAAAUGUUUGGACGUGUUGGUUGCCUUGAUCUAUAAUUGUCUUGAAAUAUAUAUUGCCUCAAUUGUAAUUAUAUCAUGGUUGCUUUAAUUUGAUAGUUGUCUUGAAAUGUCAGUCGUUGCCAUUAUAAUAUUUUUGUCCAAAUAUAAUUAAUCCUUAUGGUCUAAUGGAGAUGAAGAAUUUUCAAUAACAUUUCAAUUAUUUUCAUUUUUAAGUGGACUUAUUGAAUAUUGAAUAUUGAUUUAUUGCAUUUGAAUUAUAGUUAUUGCAAAAUGUUGAUUUUCUUGUAGUAAUAAUUGUCCAAUAGUUGUCAUCUUGAUUAAUUUAAUAUGAUAAUUGUCUCAACAUAUCGAAUAUAUCAAUUGUAUGUAUCAUAUGAUGGUUGUCUUAGAGAUUGGUUGUUAUGUUAUGAUAGUUGUGUAAGGGCUGGAGUACCUUGGAGUUUGGAAAUAAACGCAAGUAUAAGGACUGGUCAAGGCAGGUGUCUCCUAUGCAACCUCAAUUUCAACUAUUCGGAUUUGUUCAUAGAUAUACAAUGCGGUUAGCAGUUUCUUAAUGAUCAUUGUCACUACUUUACUUAAUCUCUCUAAGUUUAUAGAGUUUUUUGAGUUCUAAGUAUUCUUUAAUUCUAGAUGCAGUUCAUUAGACAUUGAAUGAGUAGUGUACUGUCGCAUGAAGUAUGCUAUUAGAUCUCUUUUCUUUAUUGAACUGCAUAAUAAUACCAAUUGUCUCGUUGAAUGUUCCUUGAUUUUCUUGUCUACUUGUAAGCUAUUUUAAACGUCUAAAGUUAUAAAUCAAUCUUCGAAUUUCAUGGGGUGUUGUCAUAUGAUCUCUUGUGUCAUUCAGUAUUUUCUUGUGGGAAAAUUAUUGAAUGUGCCGACACAUUGUGACUACCACUAUCUAAACUCUUUGGAUGCAUGGCUAAAACUUAAAUUUGUUCGACUCCUUGGAAAAUCUCUGUUUUUUUUUUUUUUUUGGGUAUUAUGUCUUUUAUAUGCCUUUGUGCUUUGUAUGGUAUUAAACAAGUUGUCGGCUAAUGCAUUUGUUGUUCUGUACUGUUACUCUAUCCAAGUAUUGAGCAUCAUGUAUUGGAUCAGUUUGCUUAAGAAGAGGGGAAAUUUAAUGUGGUGGAUCUCUAAUCAAGUGCCUCAGGUUUGCUGGCUUGAAUUUCUUUAUGAUUUUUUGUGUUUGUCAUGUAAUUUCUUGAUUAUUGAAUAGGUUUAUAUUUAUUUUGAUGCUUCUCAUUAAUUCUUGAGAUUAUUCCGAGCGGGUUUUUACAAACAUUUUAUGUUUUGAGAACAAUGUUUAUGAAUUUAUUUUUUUUAAUUUGUUUCUUCUUUUUUCUCCUUCAUUUUACAUUAUUUUUGAACCCCUUCAUUUUACUUCAAACAGUAAUUUUAAAAAACAACCAGCGGCUGUUUUUCUUUUAAAUCGAAUAGUGGUCUCUUGUACUAAGUAUCAUAAAUAUUUUACUUUUUCUUUUGGCCAUAUUUAUGAUCUUGGUAUUAUUUAUGACUUAAACAUGUCUUUAGGUACUAUUCUUGGCUUGUCGGUUAUCUUUGUCCAAACAUGAUUGUGUUGCCUUGAUUAGCUAUUUUUAAAUUUAGUAGUCUUUAAAUGAUAAUGGUGGAGAAAUAUCAGUUGCUUAGAUACGUUAUUUUGAGAUAUAGCAGUAUAUAUUUCUACAAUUGUCUUGGGUGCCUUGGUAAAAUCCAAAAUAAUGGUUGUUUGAAAUAUUGGUUAUCUCGGAAGGAUAAUUGUUACGGAAUAUCAAUUGCCUUGGUUUUAAUCGUGGCUUUGAUAUACUCUAGGUAUCUUGAAAUGAUAAUGGUUGCGAAAUAUAGGUUGCCUUGUUAUAUAGCCUUGAUCUUGAAAUGAUAUUGGUUGUCUUGGUACAAUAUCUGUCCAGAUAUAAUGGCUGCAUGUUAUUUUAUAAUAUUGCUACUGAAAUGAUAAUCGGUGCGAAAGAUCGGUUACCUUGUUACAAUGAUUGUUUAGACAUAUUGGUAACCUUGAUGGGAUAUAAAAUAUGGUUGAUUGAAAUAUUGGUUGUCUUGGUACAAUAAUUGGUCGGACAUGACAGUUGUCUUGAUAUGUUUAGAAAUAUUGUUGUCUCGAAAUGAUAAUUGUUGUGAAAUAUCGGUUGCCUUUUGUCCAGACAUAAUAUGGCUUGAUAGAAUUCAAAAUAAUGGUACAUGAAAUAUUGGUUGCCUCAUAAUGACAAUGGUUGCGAAAUAUCAGUUGUCUUGGUAUAACAAUUGUCCAAACAUAAUGGUUGCCUUGAUAUGUGAAGUAUCGGUUCCUUUGUUACAAUAAUUGUUGAAAUAUAUUGGUUCCUUGAUAGAAUUCAAAAUAAGGGCCGUUCAAAGUAUGGUUGUCUUGGUACAAUAUUUGUCUCGACACAAUGGAUGCCUUGAUCUGCUUUCUUGAAAUAGCUAUAUCUAGCUAUAUCUCCCAAUGAUGGUUACAAUCAUUUCCUAGAUGUCAUGGUUGUGUUGAUAUAUUCUUGAAAUAGCUAUAUCUUCCAUUCUUAGAUGUCAUGGUUGCCUUGAUAGAAUCUAAAAUAAUGGUUCAAUAUGCUAUUUUGAAAUAUGGCUAUCUUGAAAAGAUAAUUGUUGUGAAAAAUCGGUUGCUUUGUUACAAUAAUUGUUCAAACUUAUUGGUUGUAUUGAUAGAAUCCAAAAUAAUGGUUACUCGAAACCUUGGUUGUUUUGUAACAAUAAUUAUGAUCUUGAUAUGUUGUUAAAUGGAUGUAUUGAAAUGAUAAUUGUUGCAAAAUGUUUUAUCUAGAAAUAAUGGGUGCCUGGUGAUUUGAAAUGUUAUUUUGAAAUAUGACUAUCUGAAAUGUUAUUUUGAAAUAUGGCUAUCUUGAAAAGAUAAUUGUUGUAAAAAAUUGGUUGCUUUGUUACCAUGAUUGUUUAAACUGAUUGGUUGUACUGAUAGAAUCCAAAAUAAUGGCUCGAAACAUUGGUUGUCUUGUAACAAUAAUUAUCCAGAUAUGGUAAUUGUCAUGAUAUGUUGUAAUGGGUGCCUUGAUAGAAUUCAAAAUAAUGGUAGCUUGAAAUAUUUGUUCUUUGGGAUGAUAUCGAUAAUUGCCUUGAUACAAUAAUUGUCCGGUUAAAACAGUUGGCUUAAUAUGCUAUUUUGAAAUAUGGAUGUUCAAAAUGUGAUUAAUGCAAAAUAUUGGUUUCCUUGUUACCAUCAUUCCUGGAUGGAAUUAUUAAAAUAAUGAUGCUUCAAAAUAAUAUUGGUUGUCUUGGUACAAUAAUUUUGAAAUGAUAAUUGUUGCGAUAAUCAAUACUUUGGUACAAUAAUUGUACCGAUAUAUAUAAUCGUGUAUGUUAUUAUUGUAAAGUUGAUAAUCGUGUAUGUUAUUAUUGUAAAGUUGAUUUGAAAAUUUUAAUUAAAAAAUAUUUGUGUCGUUUGUUUUUUACAAUUCUAUUUGGUUUGUAUUACAUAUUUAAAUCAUUCAAGAUUUAUCUUGUUUGUAAUUCAAUUCUUAAACAAUUGUUUUUGUCUUGAGAUAUUUUAUGAACAGGUAAUUUUGUAUCAAUAUGAUCAUUUUUGCUCCUAUAUCAAAUGUGAUAAUAAAAUAGUUCAAGUAAAAGUGAGAUUCAAAUCACUUCACAACAA